ACUCCUGAGCCAGCGAGACCACGAACCCACCGGAAGGAAGAAACUCUGAACACAUCCGAACAUCAGAAGGAACAAACUCCGGACACGCCGCCUUUAAGAACUGUUAACACUCACCGCAAGGGUCCGCGGCUUCGUUCUUGAAGUCAGUGAGACCAAGAACCCACCAAUUCCGGACACAAGGGGAGCUGACUUUCAUUAUAAAGAUUUUCUCAUUGCAAAGUGAAAAAGAGAAUAAUAACUUUAAAACAAGGCAGAAAGUAAAGAGAACUGGAAGCGAGGAACAUGCUCUGAACUAGAACUGGCAACAUGAGAGAUGAGCUCAGGCUUCAAAAUGGUGUCUGCACUGGGUCUUGAAGGAAGAGCAGAGUUUGGGCAUUUAGAAACCAAGAAUUCCAGCCGGUUUCUUCAGACUGAUAACAAGAAUCAGCAAAAGUCUGAGAGCAGGAGUGCAGCUCAUUGGUACAGCAGCCAUAGUAAACAAGGAGGAAGGGAAUCCCUUCAUGAGGACAGGAGGGAAAGAAGGAGGAUUUACUUUAAACCGGUUGACAAGUCUCAGAGCAUGGUGCUGGCAUCUGGCAAGGGCCUUAUCCCAUGGCAGAAGGCAGAAGUGAGUACACAAGACAGAGGGAAGAAGGAGGCCAGACUCCCAAGGUAAUCAAUUCCUUCCCAAGAGAAAAGCAGUAAUAUGUUUAUGGGGGUCAUGGCCUAAUCACCUCUUAAAUGUCCCACCUCUUAAUACCAUCACAAUGGUAGUAAAUGUUAACAUAAGUUUUAGAGGGAGUAUUCAAACCAUAGCAACUGGUAUAGAGAGCAGAUCCUCCCUGGGGAAAUGGUUGCUAUACCCUUCCAUCUUGAAAGUUUGGCAAGUUGUUUUUGCAUUCACAUAUUAGGUCUUCUUACCAGAUCAUGUGUUUUCAUUUUGUUCUUAGAAAACAAAGCUUGAUUACCACAUAGCUUGAUUACCAUGGCAGUAAUCAACCCCUUGAGAAGUUGCCCUGUUCUAUGACCCGUGGCAUAACUGCACUGGAGAUAUUCAUAAGGUGUAGGAAGGCAGGAGCCAUUUGCUCAGCCAGUUCUUGCAAUACUACAGCUGAAGACCCUGUGGCCUGAAAUUUUGGCUGACCCCUUUGAAAAUGUCUCAUGCCCUGGAUUAAAUAUUUCUUUCUUUCUUUAUCAUUUAUUUUAUUAUUACUUUUUUUUGAGACAGAGUCUAGCUCUGUCACCCAGGUUGGAGUGCAGUGGCGCAAUCUCAGCUCACUGCAACCUCCGCCUCCCGGAUUCAAGCAAUUCUCCCACCUCAGCCUCCCGAGUAGCUGGAACUACAGAUGCUUGCCACCACGCCCAGCUAAUUUUUGAAUUUUUAGUAGAGACAGGGUUUCAUCACAUUGGCCAGGCUGAUCUCGAACACCUGACCUCAGGUGAUCCACCCGUCUCGCCCUCCCAAAGUGCUGGGAAUACAGGAGUGAGCCAGUGUGCCCGGCCUGGCUUAACCAUUUAUUACUCACCUGGGUAAGUCUUAGUUACUUGGCAAUACUCAACAAGUUUGGUUUGAUUAAUUCCUAAGACCUGUGAGAUCAAGGGUGAUGACAGUGUGAAAAGAGCAUGUUAGUUGCUGUUUUGUGGUUAUUAGUAACAAAAUCUCACCUUUGUUCAUACCGCUAAAGAGGAACAGAAGCAAAGUUCCAAAUUAUUUGUACUGGAGUUUUGCCUGUGUUAUGUGAUUUAGGGAAGAGAAUGGGGAGGCGAUGAAAAGUAGAUAUCCUUUACUUAAUUAUAUUUUGCUUAGGCCGGAAAUAAAAUUGUGUUCCCUCUGUAUACAUCUCUUUUGCUCUUUCCUUGAUCAGGGAUUCCUUUGAGCUUUCUCCAUUUGGAAAUGUCCUACUCAUCCUUUAAAAUCCAACUCAAAUAGCACAUCUUCUAUGUUAAACAUGCCUGCUUGGGUCUCUUGGCAUAGAUUUUUAUUUGAUUUUGAAUUUUACAACAACACACAGAUAGUUCUGUAAUUUAACUGUUUAUAUUUCUCUUCCCACUAGACUAUAUGCUUUUUGAGAGCAAGCACUAUCUCCUUGCCAUUUUUGUAUAUCCCACGCUUGCUACCUUUUCACACUGCCUUGUGCAUAGUAUAUGUUCAGUAAAUAUUUGUGGAAUAAAUGAAUGAAUAAAUGAAAGAGUUAUUUUACUGUCUGAGAAUAGUAAUGAUUAUAAAAGAACUGGGUGAUUUUUUUUUUCAAGUAUUGCUUGCCAAAUCUACAUGCAAAUAAUGAAGAGCAGAGUGCACAUUUCAUUUACAUUUGUUUAAUGACCACAAUUAAAAUAACAAACAAGAGGCUGUUUAUAUAUCCAACUGGAGUUCCUGAGGCUACCACAUCCAUCAUAAAACACUAUGCAGAAAUGCUCUAAUGCUACAUAUGAUAGGAUUUACCCCAUUUUGCAGCCUCCAAGAGCAAACACCUCAUAGGUCCGAAAUGUCACCUGUGUAUAAAGCCAUCCAAGAGCAGAUAGAGGAUAACAUAAGUGAUGGGUAUGGGAGUGCAAUUCUUCAAUCAGGUCAGUUGUCAGCAUCAUACCAAUUUCUUAUGCUUGAUAUAUUUUCUAUGGUAUAAAAGGAUAAGCAGU
rnacentral:lncRNA from 10 species